rnacentral:rRNA from 1 species
UGGUAUCUUCGUUGUGGAGUCAUUCUUACUAAAGAUAACCUUAUUAAGAGAAAUUGGCAUGGAAGUCCGCAAUGUGUCUGUUGUCACCAUGACGAGACAAUAAAACAUUUGUUCUUUGAAUGCAAAUUGGCUCGUUCCAUAUGGUCAGUCAUCCAUAUAGCUUCUGGCUUGUAUGCUCCUUGUAGUGUUGCUAAUGUAUUUAGCAACUGGUUACAUGGGAUUGAUCACAGAUUUAGAACCCUUCUCAGGGUGGGAGCGCUUGCCUUUUUUGGUCGCUUUGGCUAUGUAGAAAUGAUAAGAUUUUUAAUGAUAAAAGUACUUUUCUGA